UGGGACGGCUCAGUCAGUAGAGCAUGUGGCUCUUAAUCUCAGGGUUGUGGGUUCAAGCCCUACAUUGGGCAAAG